rnacentral:rRNA from 1 species
ACGAACGCUGGCGGCGUGCCUAAUACAUGCAAGUCGAGCGGAAUGAUGAAGAAGCUUGCUUCUUCUGAUUUUAGCGGCGGACGGGUGAGUAACACGUGGGCAACCUACCUUGUAGAUUGGGAUAACUCCGGGAAACCGGGGCUAAUACCGAAUAAUCCAUUUUGCUUCAUGGCGAGAUGUUGAAAGACGGUUUCGGCUGUCACUACAAGAUGGGCCCGCGGCGCAUUAGCUAGUUGGUAGGGUAAUGGCCUACCAAGGCGACGAUGCGUAGCCGACCUGAGAGGGUGAUCGGCCACACUGGGACUGAGACACGGCCCAGACUCCUACGGGAGGCAGCAGUAGGGAAUCUUCCACAAUGGACGAAAGUCUGAUGGAGCAACGCCGCGUGAGUGAAGAAGGUUUUCGGAUCGUAAAACUCUGUUGUAAGGGAAGAACACGUACGAGAGUAGCUGCUCGUACCUUGACGGUACCUUAUUAGAAAGCCACGGCUAACUACGUG